AUUGAACGCUGGCGGCAGGCUUAACACAUGCAAGUCGAACGAGUGGCGGACGGGUGAGUAAUGCUUGGGAAUCUAGCUUAUGGAGGGGGAUAACUACGGGAAACUGUAGCUAAUACCGCGUACCAUUGGAUGAGCCCAAGUGGGAUUAGGUAGUUGGUGAGGUAAAGGCUCACCAAGCCGACGAUCUCUAGCUGGUUUGAGAGGAUGACCAGCCACACGUGGACUGAGAAACGGCCCAGACUCCUACGGGAGGCAGCAGUGGGGAAUAUUGCGCAAUGGGGGCAACCUGACGCAGCCAUGCCGCGUGGAGGAAGAAGGCCUUCGGGUUGUAAAGUUCUUUCGGUGGCGAGGCGUUAACUACAGAAGAAGCACCGGCUAACUCCGUGCCAGCAGCCGCGGUAAUUC
rnacentral:rRNA from 1 species